GUCCAGACUCCUACGGGAGGCAGCAGUGGGGAAUAUUGCACAAUGGGGGAAACCCUGAUGCAGCGACGCCGCGUGAGCGAUGAAGUAUUUCGGUAUGUAAAGCUCUAUCAGCAGGGAAGAAGAUGACGGUACCUGACUAAGAAGCCCCGGCUAACUACGUGCCAGCAGCCGCGGUAAUACGUAGGGGGCAAGCGUUAUCCGGAUUUACUGGGUGUAAAGGGAGCGUAGACGGCGAUGCAAGCCAGAUGUGAAAGCCCGGGGCUCAACCCCGGGACUGCAUUUGGAACUGUGUGGCUGGAGUGUCGGAGAGGCAGGCGGAAUUCCUAGUGUAGCGGUGAAAUGCGUAGAUAUUAGGAGGAACACCAGUGGCGAAGGCGGCCUGCUGGACGAUGACUGACGUUGAGGCUCGAAAGCGUGGGGAGCAAACAGGAUUAGAUACCCCUGUACG
rnacentral:rRNA from 1 species